UUAAGCGACUAAGCGUACACGGUGGAUGCCCUGGCAGUCAGAGGCGAUGAAGGACGUGCUAAUCUGCGAUAAGCGUCGGUAAGGUGAUAUGAACCGUUAUAACCGGCGAUUUCCGAAUGGGGAAACCCAGUGUGUUUCGACACACUAUCAUUAACUGAAUCCAUAGGUUAAUGAGGCGAACCGGGGGAACUGAAACAUCUAAGUACCCCGAGGAAAAGAAAUCAACCGAGAUUCCCCCAGUAGCGGCGAGCGAACGGGGAGCAGCCCAGAGCCUGAAUCAGUGUGUGUGUUAGUGGAAGCGUCUGGAAAGGCGCGCGAUACAGGGUGACAGCCCCGUACACAAAAAUGCACAUGCUGUGAGCUCGAUGAGUAGGGCGGGACACGUGGUAUCCUGUCUGAAUAUGGGGGGACCAUCCUCCAAGGCUAAAUACUCCUGACUGACCGAUAGUGAACCAGUACCGUGAGGGAAAGGCGAAAAGAACCCCGGCGAGGGGAGUGAAAAAGAACCUGAAACCGUGUACGUACAAGCAGUGGGAGCACGCUUAGGCGUGUGACUGCGUACCUUUUGUAUAAUGGGUCAGCGACUUAUAUUCUGUAGCAAGGUUAACCGAAUAGGGGAGCCGAAGGGAAACCGAGUCUUAACUGGGCGUUAAGUUGCAGGGUAUAGACCCGAAACCCGGUGAUCUAGCCAUGGGCAGGUUGAAGGUUGGGUAACACUAACUGGAGGACCGAACCGACUAAUGUUGAAAAAUUAGCGGAUGACUUGUGGCUGGGGGUGAAAGGCCAAUCAAACCGGGAGAUAGCUGGUUCUCCCCGAAAGCUAUUUAGGUAGCGCCUCGUGAAUUCAUCUCCGGGGGUAGAGCACUGUUUCGGCAAGGGGGUCAUCCCGACUUACCAACCCGAUGCAAACUGCGAAUACCGGAGAAUGUUAUCACGGGAGACACACGGCGGGUGCUAACGUCCGUCGUGAAGAGGGAAACAACCCAGACCGCCAGCUAAGGUCCCAAAGUCAUGGUUAAGUGGGAAACGAUGUGGGAAGGCCCAGACAGCCAGGAUGUUGGCUUAGAAGCAGCCAUCAUUUAAAGAAAGCGUAAUAGCUCACUGGUCGAGUCGGCCUGCGCGGAAGAUGUAACGGGGCUAAACCAUGCACCGAAGCUGCGGCAGCGACGCUUAUGCGUUGUUGGGUAGGGGAGCGUUCUGUAAGCCUGCGAAGGUGUGCUGUGAGGCAUGCUGGAGGUAUCAGAAGUGCGAAUGCUGACAUAAGUAACGAUAAAGCGGGUGAAAAGCCCGCUCGCCGGAAGACCAAGGGUUCCUGUCCAACGUUAAUCGGGGCAGGGUGAGUCGACCCCUAAGGCGAGGCCGAAAGGCGUAGUCGAUGGGAAACAGGUUAAUAUUCCUGUACUUGGUGUUACUGCGAAGGGGGGACGGAGAAGGCUAUGUUGGCCGGGCGACGGUUGUCCCGGUUUAAGCGUGUAGGCUGGUUUUCCAGGCAAAUCCGGAAAAUCAAGGCUGAGGCGUGAUGACGAGGCACUACGGUGCUGAAGCAACAAAUGCCCUGCUUCCAGGAAAAGCCUCUAAGCAUCAGGUAACAUCAAAUCGUACCCCAAACCGACACAGGUGGUCAGGUAGAGAAUACCAAGGCGCUUGAGAGAACUCGGGUGAAGGAACUAGGCAAAAUGGUGCCGUAACUUCGGGAGAAGGCACGCUGAUAUGUAGGUGAAGUCCCUCGCGGAUGGAGCUGAAAUCAGUCGAAGAUACCAGCUGGCUGCAACUGUUUAUUAAAAACACAGCACUGUGCAAACACGAAAGUGGACGUAUACGGUGUGACGCCUGCCCGGUGCCGGAAGGUUAAUUGAUGGGGUUAGCGCAAGCGAAGCUCUUGAUCGAAGCCCCGGUAAACGGCGGCCGUAACUAUAACGGUCCUAAGGUAGCGAAAUUCCUUGUCGGGUAAGUUCCGACCUGCACGAAUGGCGUAAUGAUGGCCAGGCUGUCUCCACCCGAGACUCAGUGAAAUUGAACUCGCUGUGAAGAUGCAGUGUACCCGCGGCAAGACGGAAAGACCCCGUGAACCUUUACUAUAGCUUGACACUGAACAUUGAGCCUUGAUGUGUAGGAUAGGUGGGAGGCUUUGAAGUGUGGACGCCAGUCUGCAUGGAGCCGACCUUGAAAUACCACCCUUUAAUGUUUGAUGUUCUAACGUUGACCCGUAAUCCGGGUUGCGGACAGUGUCUGGUGGGUAGUUUGACUGGGGCGGUCUCCUCCUAAAGAGUAACGGAGGAGCACGAAGGUUGGCUAAUCCUGGUCGGACAUCAGGAGGUUAGUGCAAUGGCAUAAGCCAGCUUGACUGCGAGCGUGACGGCGCGAGCAGGUGCGAAAGCAGGUCAUAGUGAUCCGGUGGUUCUGAAUGGAAGGGCCAUCGCUCAACGGAUAAAAGGUACUCCGGGGAUAACAGGCUGAUACCGCCCAAGAGUUCAUAUCGACGGCGGUGUUUGGCACCUCGAUGUCGGCUCAUCACAUCCUGGGGCUGAAGUAGGUCCCAAGGGUAUGGCUGUUCGCCAUUUAAAGUGGUACGCGAGCUGGGUUUAGAACGUCGUGAGACAGUUCGGUCCCUAUCUGCCGUGGGCGCUGGAGAACUGAGGGGGGCUGCUCCUAGUACGAGAGGACCGGAGUGGACGCAUCACUGGUGUUCGGGUUGUCAUGCCAAUGGCACUGCCCGGUAGCUAAAUGCGGAAGAGAUAAGUGCUGAAAGCAUCUAAGCACGAAACUUGCCCCGAGAUGAGUUCUCCCUGACCCUUUAAGGGUCCUGAAGGAACGUUGAAGACGACGACGUUGAUAGGCCGGGUGUGUAAGCGCAGCGAUGCGUUGAGCUAACCGGUACUAAUGAACCGUGAGGCUUAACCUU
rnacentral:rRNA from 1 species